GAACCACUCCAAGUUCAGUAAUGAACUUCUUCAUCCAGAACGCUUCUUUGCCGGCUUCAGCUGCAGCGACAUUUUCUGCCUCCGUCUGAUGUGAAAAAUAAGUUAACACACAAAUUAACCCUCUUGUUGACAAUUGUAGUAUGGAUAAGUAGGGAUCGUUCUUAAACCGGGGAUUAGGAGGGAUUGCUAAAACACUCUAAACUGACUCAAAUCUGUGAAACAAAGUUUAAAAAUACGAAACUAGACUCAAAGAAUGCAAAACUAAACUCUAAAACACUAAAACGAACCAAAAGAAUCAAAACAGCAACCAAACACUCAAAACUGCCUAAAAACCACUUUCUGGGCAGUUUUGAACACAAAGCAUCAAAUUGGACGAAUUUGGGUUUUAACUUGUACCAAAACACUUAAAAACAUAAACCAACACACUUUCCAAUUAAUCUAGGAAUUCAAAAUAAUUGGGGAUUUGAUUUGGACGAAAAUAAACUUAAAUGGUAGAUUGUAAGAGAAACAGAUUGUAAUACAAAGUUAUGAAGAAUCAAUGGAUGAUGGAAUGGCUAAGGGGUUCUUCUCCACACAUGAAAUAUAUGCAACGUAAAUCAAUUUCCAGUUAUCAAUUCAAUAAGUUAUAAACCUCAACACUCCAAGGUAAUUAGGUCCGCUUAAAUUAACCUUCAGAUUUCCCUAGGAUCAUUCAAUUGGAUGAAUAUGCAUCGCAAACAAAUUAUUCCUAACAAGUUCUUUAUAUGAACAACAUGAUAAAGACACAAGUUAGAAUCAUUACGUUCUUUGGAAAUCAUAAGCAUCGACAAGGCAUUCGUAA
rnacentral:lncRNA from 1 species